rnacentral:tRNA from 1 species
GGCGGAUUAGCCAACUUACUUGGCUC